UUCUCCUCUCCCACGCGUGAAUAAGCCCCGGACCAAGGGAGAAGCCGACGCCUUCUCCUCUCUGUGCUUGAGCCGCGCGACACCGCCGGCCACAGGAACUGCAGUCGCCAACUGAAGCGGAUCACCAACCCUAGCGCCGGCCACCGCGUGCCCUAGCCGAGCCCUGCCGACGCCGCCGCCGCACGGGACAGAGCUAGGCCUUUUCACUGGAGAGCUGAGCCCUUGAUUUGAUCAGCCGCACAUCACCCUCUUCUUCUCCUGCCGAGUUCUCUGCCCUAGUGCUGACAUCCCGAUUUUUCCCUUGCCACCGGCCACUAUCACAGUCGAUCCGGCAGAUCCUCAUGCCCUAGUUUCUGGGUGCCGAAUUUCUUUUCUUCCACUUCACUGAUCGGGAUCCAGGGGUCAAGAUUGGAGAAGGAUUCAGGGGGAGGUUUGCUGAGGUGUUUUUGUCUAGCUAUUUACCCUAGAUAUAAGUAGCUGACAGCCACCUUUCAGCAGCGAACAACUCUAACAUUUCAACCACUUCCAUCCAGUUCCCUUUGUUCCAGCAUUAACAGGGGAAGUGAAAUUGAGGACUUUGAUUCGGGACGAUAUCUCGACGAGUAUCUUGAUUACCGGAUUGGACCACUUUAUU